GACGAACGCUGGCGGCGUGCUUAACACAUGCAAGUCGAACGGAAAGGCCCUGCUUUUGUGGGGCGCUCGAGUGGCGAACGGGUGAGUAACACGUGAGUAACCUGCCCUUGACUUUGGGAUAACUUCAGGAAACUGGGGCUAAUACCGGAUAGGAGCUCCUGCUGCAUGGUGGGGGUUGGAAAGUUUCGGCGGUUGGGGAUGGACUCGCGGCUUAUCAGCUUGUUGGUGGGGUAGUGGCUUACCAAGGCUUUGACGGGUAGCCGGCCUGAGAGGGUGACCGGCCACAUUGGGACUGAGAUACGGCCCAGACUCCUACGGGAGGCAGCAGUGGGGAAUAUUGCACAAUGGGCGGAAGCCUGAUGCAGAAACGCCGCGUGCGGGAUGACGGCCUUCGGGUUGUAAACCGCUUUCGCCUGUGACGAAGCGUGAGUGACGGUAAUGGGUAAAGAAGCACCGGCUAACUACGUG
rnacentral:rRNA from 1 species